rnacentral:misc_RNA from 1 species
GAUGAAGAACGUAGCGAAAUGCGAUAAGUAAUGUGAAUUGCAGAAUUCAGUGAAUCAUCGAAUCUUUGAACGCACAUUGCGCCCCCUGGUAUUCCGGGGGGCAUGCCUGUCCGAGCGUCAUUACAACCCUCAAGCUCAGCUUGGUGUUGAGCCCCGCCGCCCCGGCGGGCCCUAAAGUCAGUGGCGGUGCCGUCCGGCUCCGAGCGUAGUAAUUCUUCUCGCUCUGGAGGUCCGGUCGUGUGCUCGCCAGCAACCCCCAAUUUUUUUCAGGUUGACCUCGGAUCAGGUAGGGAUACCCGCUGAACUUAAGCAUAUCAAUAAGCGGAGGA